rnacentral:rRNA from 1 species
UACAGAGGGGGCAAGCGUUAUUCGGAAUUAUUGGGCGUAAAGGGCGCGUAGGCGGCUUUGCAAGUGGCGGGUGAAAUCCCUCGGCUUAACCGAGGAACUGCCUGUCAAACUGCAUGGCUUGAGACCAGGAGAGGUGAGUGGAAUUCCUAGUGUAGAGGUGAAAUUCGUAGAUAUCAGGAGGAACACCGGUGGCGAAAGCGGCCAUCUGGCGAGACAUUGACGCUGAGGUGCGAAAGCGCGGGGAUCAAACAGG